CUUGGUCAUUUAGAGGAAGUAAAAGUCGUAACAAGGUCUCCGUAGGUGAACCUGCGGAGGGAUCAUUACAAGUGACCCCGGUCUAACCACCGGGAUGUUCAUAACCCUUUGUUGUCCGACUCUGUUGCCUCCGGGGCGACCCUGCCUUCGGGCGGGGGCUCCGGGUGGACACUUCAAACUCUUGCGUAACUUUGCAGUCUGAGUAAACUUAAUUAAUAAAUUAAAACUUUUAACAACGGAUCUCUUGGUUCUGGCAUCGAUGAAGAACGCAGCGAAAUGCGAUAAGUAAUGUGAGUUGCAGAAUUCAGUGAAUCAUCGAAUCUUUGAACGCACAUUGCGCCCCCUGGUAUUCCGGGGGGCAUGCCUGUUCGAGCGUCAUUUCACCACUCAAGCCUCGCUUGGUAUUGGGCAACGCGGUCCGCCGCGUGCCUCAAAUCGACCGGCUGGGUCUUCUGUCCCCUAAGCGUUGUGGAAACUAUUCGCUAAAGGGUGCUCGGGAGGCUACGCCGUAAAACAAACCCAUUUCUAAGGUUGACCUCGGAUCAGGUAGGGAUACCCGCUGAACUUAAGCAUAUCAAUAAGCGGAG
rnacentral:rRNA from 1 species